AUUGAACGCUGGCGGCAUGCCUUACACAUGCAAGUCGAACGGCAGCACGGGAGCAAUCCUGGUGGCGAGUGGCGAACGGGUGAGUAAUAUAUCGGAACGUGCCCAGUCGUGGGGGAUAACGUAGCGAAAGUUACGCUAAUACCGCAUACGAUCUAAGGAUGAAAGCGGGGGAUCGGCAAGACCUCGCGCGAUUGGAGCGGCCGAUAUCAGAUUAGGUAGUUGGUGAGGUAAAGGCUCACCAAGCCGACGAUCUGUAGCUGGUCUGAGAGGACGACCAGCCACACUGGGACUGAGACAC
rnacentral:rRNA from 1 species